rnacentral:rRNA from 1 species
GACGAACGCUGGCGGCGUGCUUAACACAUGCAAGUCGAACGGAAAGGCCCUGCUUUUGUGGGGUGCUCGAGUGGCGAACGGGUGAGUAACACGUGAGUAACCUGCCCUUGACUUUGGGAUAACUUCAUGAAACUGGGGCUAAUACCGGAUAGGAUCUCCUGCUGCAUGGUGGGGGUUGGAAAGUUUCGGCGGUUGGGGAUGGACUCGCGGCUUAUCAGCUUGUUGGUUGGGUAGUGGCUUACCAAGGCUUUGACGGGUAGCCGGCCUGAGCGGGUGACCGGACACAUUGGGACUGAGAUACGGCCCAGCCUCCUCCGGGAGGCAGAAGUGGGGAAUAUUGUACUAGGGGAGGAAGCAUGAUGCAGCAAAGCAGUGUGCGGGAUGACGGCAUUCGGGUUGUAAUCCGCUUUCGCCUGUGCCGAAGCGUGAGUGACGGUAAUGGGUAAAGAAGCACCGGCUAACUACGUG